UGAAAGAUGCCGCACAUAGCUUGCUUAACCAGAUGGAAAUACUCAAAAUAGGUGAGCUGUCAAGUCCUAUUAUGAAAAAGAUUAAAAAAAAAAAAAAAAGAAAGAAAAAAGAUAUGAAUUAGAAAAAGAAAAAGCAAUGUAACAGAGAGGGAGGAGGGUGAUCGAUAAGCCACUACUCCAUCUAACAUGGCUCUAUAUAGCUAUAAUUAACAACUCGCUUAGCUUCCCCAUUCGUUCUGCAUCUUUUUUAGCUCCUCUUUCAAGCUCCUCCUCAUCAAAUUAAAUUUCCUGCAUUUCAACCAACUACAGUUGGAUCAUAUUGAAUUGAAGGAAUAGACAGAUGGCAAGCGAAGCACCAAGUUGGGCUGAUCAAUGGGGUGCUGGUGGCAUUGGUGCCAUGGAAGAUGAUGCCACAACAUUCCAAAAAGACACUGGAAAGAACAAGAAGUCUGGUUCUAAGGGUGGUUUUGGUAGAGUCAAAGCAACCGCUUCAAAUUGUGUGAAAUGGAUGAAAAGCCUUUGCAAGAGAAAGAAAGCAUCCAAGUAAUGAGAGCACGCAACAACUAACUUCUCUCUCUAUGCACUUCUAAUUGGAGAUAUCAAUUUUGUAAUUUAUUUCCAAUCUUAAUGAACUGAGUUUGCUUGAGAGUUAAUAAAGCACGUUGCUUAGGAAGGAAGGCAUUCUAAUAUAAAUUAGUGGAUCAGGAUCUGCCUAACACUGCGUGCUUGAUUACUUGAUAAAACGCUCUUUAGGAUAGUGUGGGUCAGUGUUUUGCUUAAGAAUCCAUGAUUUAUGAUGCCGUAAAAUGAUGUGCCUCAUGUAAAACAUCAACCUGAAAAAGCCUUUUCCCGAGCUAUAUGAAUUCAAAAUGUCAUUGCUAUCCAUGCA